rnacentral:rRNA from 1 species
UACGGAGGGUGCAAGCGUUAUCCGGAUUCACUGGGUUUAAAGGGUGCGUAGGCGGGCAGGUAAGUCAGUGGUGAAAUCCCCGAGCUUAACUUGGGAACUGCCGUUGAUACUAUCUGUCUUGAAUGCUGUGGAGGUAAGCGGAAUAUGUCAUGUAGCGGUGAAAUGCUUAGAUAUGACAUAGAACACCAAUUGCGAAGGCAGCUUGCUACACAGUUAUUGACGCUGAUGCACGAAAGCGUGGGGAUCAAACAGG